GUCUCUUUUUUAUCUCCUCGAAUUCUGUGCCACCAACAAAUCCCCAGUCUGAAUGAACGUCAGCUGGAUCAAUGUGAGAUGCAGAGAGACAUCAUAGCCAUUUGAUCUUGGUGAAAUUCUAGCAAGAUGCCCAGAAAACCCACCUCAUCUUCUCUGAAAGCAGCAAGAGUCAAGACCUUAGAAGAAAACUACACCUGGCUUUCGUGUUGACAUUUGCAAAGGUGCAGCUUAGAAAACAAAACAAACAAAAAAAAUCGAGCAAACAAACAAAUAUCCAAUUCACCCCAGGAAACAAGACUUCCAGGUGACUUUCAUAUGAAAAUAACUUAGGAAAUACGGAUUAAUACUGAGAAAAAAAUUAGGCCAGAUGUUCAGCUGGUGUCAGCCAGCACAAUCCCUCUGACAGCCUGCCCACUUACACCAGGCAGACGCAGCUCAGCCACAUGGCCAGCAAUUUCAUCACAAAGCAGAGAAGACAAAGUUGUAAAGGCCCCAUAAAGUCAUAGUAUGGGGUUUAUUUGAGUGUGAUCUGUUGCCACGUAUCUAGACACCAAUGACAGAUUCAUCUCACCUGACUUCUACAGGUAGGCUGCUACAUCCCAGCGAGUCAAGCCAGAAGAAGUCACCCCAAUCAGCAUCAAGCAGAUGUCAGAAAUGUUUCCAAAUGCAUCAGGCACCAGAAGAAUCCAUUUCUCCUCAUUAACUGGAAAGGGAG